GGGGGUGUCGGCCGCAGCCCCGCCGCCGCUUGCCCAGGGCCGCGGAGCGCGAUGGCUGUGGCGGCGAGGAGCCUGGCGAUGGCCGGGCGGGCCUGGACGCUGCGGCGCUGGUACCGCACGGAGCGGGGGGUGUACGGCUACAAGCCCCGCAAGGCGGAGAGCGGGGGCGCCCCGGAGCCAAGCCGGGUCUUCGUGGGCGGCAGAGCAGCUGAUCAUGGCCUUGCUCGUUUAGUAACUGCAUACUGUGAACAUGGCCACAAAGCUGCCAAAAUUAACCCUUUGUUUGCUGGCCAAGCUGUGAUGGACAUGGUACCUGAAAUUCGAGUGCUGACAGAAGUGCUUCAGGGACCUUUCAAUACCACAGGGCUCCUGAACAUGGGAAAAGAAGAGGCUUCCUUAGAGGAUGUGUUGACUUAUCUUGACCAUGUAUAUUGUGGACAUAUUUCUAUAGAAAUGAGUCAGCUGUCAAGCUUGGAGGAGAGAGAAUGGUUUGCUAAAAGGUUUGAACAAUUAAAACAGGAGGCAUUUACAACAGAAGAGAGAAAGCAUUUGUCUAAAGUGAUGCUAGAAUCUCAGGAGUUUGACCGCUUCUUGGCCACCAAGUUUGCCACAGUGAAACGUUACAGUGGUGAAGGAGCAGAGAGCAUGAUGGGUUUUUUCUAUGAAUUGUUAAAGAUGUGCGUGUACAGUGGGGUGACAGACAUCAUUCUUGGAAUGCCUCAUCGAGGAAGGCUUAAUCUCCUCACUGGGCUGCUUCAGUUUCCACCUGAGUUGAUGUUCCGUAAAAUGCGUGGCUUAAGUGAGUUUCCAGAGAAUUCGCCAGCAAUUGGGGAUGUCCUGUCCCACCUGACAUCCUCUGUAGAUCUAGACUUUGGUUCACACCGCCCUCUGCAUGUCACCAUGUUGCCUAAUCCAUCACAUCUAGAAGCAAUUAAUCCAGUGGCGGUUGGCAAGACACGCGGAAGGCAACAGUCUCUUCUUGAUGGAGAUUACUCGCUAGAUAGUGCCGCACAACCUGGAGACAAAGUUAUCUGCCUGCAGGUUCAUGGUGAUGCUGCUUUCUCUGGUCAAGGGAUUGUUCCUGAAACGUUGACACUCUCUAAUCUCCCACAUUUCAGAGUUGGUGGAAGCAUCCAUUUGAUUGUUAAUAAUCAGCUGGGUUACACCACUCCUCCAGAGCGAGGAAGAUCGUCGCUAUACUGUAGUGAUAUUGGUAAGAUAAUUGGGUGUGCAGUUAUCCAUGUGAAUGGUGAUGAUGCUGAAGAAGUCAUCCGAGCGACGCGAUUAGCUGUUGAAUACCAGCGUCACUUCCGCAGGGAUGUGAUUGUAGACUUGCUGUGCUACAGACAGUGGGGCCACAAUGAACUCGAUGAGCCAUUCUUCACCAACCCCAGCAUGUAUAAAAUCAUCAGAUCCCGUAAGAGUGUCCCAGACAUGUAUGCAGAGUGUCUAAUAGCCAGUGGGCUCAUGACUGAGGAUGAGGUAUUGGAGAUAAAGACUUCAUAUUACUCCAAGCUGAAUGAUCAUCUAGCCAACAUGAUGAUGUAUAGCCCCCCUUCAACCAACCUGCAAGCUCACUGGAGUGGCAUGGUGGAACCCUCUGCUAGGAUCACCAUUUGGGAUACAGGCCUGCCUGUGCCACUCCUGCAAUUCAUUGGCAUCAAGUCCGUGGAGGUGCCUGAAGAGCUCCAGAUGCACAGUCAUCUUCUGAGGACGCAUGUACAGGCAAGAAUACAGAAAGUGAAGGAAGGAACGAAGUUGGACUGGGCUACAGCUGAAACAUUAGCUUUUGGUUCACUACUCAGCCAAGGGUUUAAUAUCCGACUAAGUGGCCAGGAUGUUGGCAGAGGAACAUUCAGCCAACGACACGCAAUGUUGGUUUGCCAAGAGACAGAUGAAACCUAUAUCCCGCUGAAUCAUUUGUCUCCGGAUCAGAAAGGCUUCCUAGAGGUGAGCAAUAGCCCACUGUCUGAAGAAGCUGUGCUUGGUUUUGAGUAUGGAAUGAGUAUUGAAAGCCCCAAGUUACUGCCAAUUUGGGAGGCCCAGUUUGGUGACUUCUUUAAUGGAGCCCAGAUAAUAUUUGACACUUUCAUCUCUGGAGGUGAAGCUAAGUGGCUUCUGCAGAGCGGGAUAGUCAUUCUUCUUCCCCAUGGCUAUGAUGGUGCAGGCCCUGAACACUCUUCCUGCCGAAUGGAACGUUUCUUACAGAUGUGUGACAGUGCAGAAGAGGGAGUUGAUGGUGACAACGUGAACAUGUCAGUUGUGCAUCCAACCACCCCAGCACAGUAUUUCCAUUUGCUCCGUAGGCAGAUGAUCCGAAACUUCCGGAAACCUUUAAUUGUUGCUUCUCCCAAAAUGCUACUCAGAUUUCCAGGGGCGGUGUCAGAUUUUCAAGAAAUGGCCCCAGGGACAACAUUCAAGCCUGUAAUUGGUGAUUUGUCAGUGGAUCCUAACAGCAUCAGCCGAGUGGUGCUGUGUUCUGGCAAGCAUUACUAUGCUUUGGUGAAACAGAGAGAGGCACUAGCAGAGAAGAAGCACAGCACUGCUAUUGUCAGGCUAGAAGAACUGUGUCCUUUCCCCCUGGAAGCUCUACAGCAAGAGAUGAACAAAUACAGAAAUGCCAAAGAUUUUAUUUGGAGUCAGGAGGAGCCACAGAACAUGGGUCCCUGGGCCUUUGUGUCACCAAGGUUUGAGAAGCAGUUGGCAUGUAAGUACCCAUUCUCUUAAAAGUGAGCUCUGGGAACAUGGAGAGAGAUCUUCAAUCACCAACAUCUUAUGUACUAAGUAUAAAGUGCACACAGACAUAAGAGAUGUUGGACUAGAUCGUAAUCCCCAAAUCUGCACAUGGCUCUCACCCUUUUCAUGUGGAUAGUGGGGUGGUCUUCCACUGUACGCUUGCCACCCAUGCCUUUGGAAGGUACUCUGUAGGGCUAAGCCCUGGUCUACACUAGGACUUUAGGUCGAAUUUAGCAGCGUAAAAUCGAUUUAAACCUGCACCCGUCCACACAAUGAAGCCCUUUAUUUCGACUUAAAGGGCUCUUAAAAUCGAUUUCCUUACUCCACCCCUGACAAGUGGAUUAGCGCUUAAAUCGAUGUUGCCGGCUCGAAUUUGGGGUACUGUGGACACAAUUCGAUGGUAUUGGCCUCCGGGAGCUAUCCCAGGGUGCUCCAUUCUGACCGCUCUGGACAGCACUCUCAACUCAGAUGCACUGGCCAGGUAGACAGGAAAAGAACCGCGAACUUUUGAAUCUCAUUUCCUGUUUGGCCGGCGUGGCAAGCUGCAGGUGACCAUGCAGAGCUCAUCAGCACAGGUGACCAUGAUGGAGUCCCAGAAUCGCAAAAGAGCUCCAGCAUGGACCGAACGGGAGGUACGGGAUCUGAUCGCUGUUUGGGGAGAGGAAUCCGUGCUAUCAGAACUCCGUUCCAGUUUUUGAAAUGCCAAAACCUUUCUGAAAAUCUCCCAGGGCAUGAAGGACAGAGGCCAUAACAGGGACCCGAAGCAGUGCCGCGUGAAACUGAAGGAGCUGAGGCAAGCCUACCAGAAAACCAGAGAGGCGAACAGCCGCUCUGGGUCAGAGCCCCAAACAUGCCGCUUCUAUGAUGAGCUGCAUGCCAUUUUAGGGGGUUCAGCCACCACUACCCCAGCCGUGUUGUUUGACUCCUUCAAUGGAGAUGGAGGCAAUACGGAAGUAGGUUUUGGGGACGAAGAAGAUGAGGAGGAGGAGGAGGUUGUAGAUAGCUCACAGCAAGCAAGCGGAGAAACCGGUUUUCCCGACAGCCAGGAACUGUUUCUCACCGUAGACCUGGAGCCAGUACCCCCCGAACCCACCCAAGGCUGCCUCCUGGACUCAGCAGGCGGAGAAGGGACCUCUGCUGCAUGUGUUUCAAUGAUCACAGGAUCUUCUCCUUCCCAGAGGCUAGUGAAGCUUAGAAAGAAAAAAAAACGCACUCGCGAUGAAAUGUUCUCCGAGCUCAUGCUGUCCUCCCACACUGACAGAGCACAGACGAAUGCGUGGAGGCAAAUAAUGUCAGAGUGCAGGAAAGCACAAAAUGACUGGGAGGAGAGGUGGAGGGCUGAAGAGAGUAAGUGGCAGGCUGAAGACAGGGCUGAAGCUCAAAGGUGGCGGCAGCGUGAUGAGAGGAGGCAGGAUUCAAUGCUGAGGCUGCUGCAGGACCAAACCAGUAUGCUCCAGUGUAUGGUUGAGCUGCAGCAAAGGCAGCUGGAGCACAGACUGCCACUGCAGCCCCUCUGUAACCAACCGCCCUCCUCCCCAAGUUCCAUAGCCUCCACACCCAGACGCCCAAGAACGCGGUGGGGGGGGCCUCCGGCCAACCAGCCACUCCACCACAGAGGAUUGCCCCAAAAAAAGAAGGCUGUCAUUCAAUAAAUUUUAAAGUUGUAAACUUAAA